CAAUUGUUUCACUCAAAAUUUAAAGCUAGGUUUACAUGUUGUGAAUCCAAUGUGUCAAGCAAGGUAUACAAGAUUGCCUUACAAAACAGCUGCUUCAAUAUUUGUAGUAUGGCAUAUCAAAGUGAACCAUAAGUCUAUCCAAGGCAAGGGUGGAGAGUAGCAACUAUAUAUUUGACAGUAUCAUCGAUUGCACCUACGAAAUACGUGACACAAAGGAAAACAACUGUAAGUAAUAGAACUUUGUUACUAGAGUCAAAUUUUCAACUUGUCGACAUACAGCCGACUUGUAUCGUUACCUUAUUUUUUUUUUUUUCAUAAUUGAUUUAAAAUAUUUAUGGUUUGCCAGAGUUACUCACACGUUUUGACCAUAUCUACCUCCUAACCAUGCUUUAAUUCACGGUCUACUUCCCCUCCCAUCUUUCAGAUAAACAAAUUAUUCUUUUCGAUAAUCUAUGACCUUCCGAAAAUAAUGCAGAAUUUAUCGAAAAAAGUUUCAUCAAAAUAGAUAAAAUAGUUCUUAAGAUUAAUGCUCACAUACAGACGGAACGGAGGUUGAAAGUUAAAACCUUCUCAAGCCACCUCCUUGACUACAAUACUAACACAUUUAUUAUUUUACCCAUUACUUUAGUCAACAUAAUAAUAUAUUCAAAUGCCGUGGUUUACACCAAAUUUUAGUUGAGUUAUAAUUAAUAAAAUAAACUGCUCUUGCGCGAAGAAACACGUAGGUAUUCACAUUUAUUUGAAAUAGGUAAUUUGUUAAAUAUGUACUUAACUUAUAAUAGUGCGGUAUCCUUCAUGUUUAAAUUGUUACCUUUAUUAUAAAAAAUUAAAGGUUAAGAGUUACCGUUAUUGAUUAGCUGCAGCUACAUUAUUAUAGAAACAUUUUACCAGAUGAAGAAAUUUCCGAUUUCUCAACCAUUAAACUAAAAAUACAAAUACGAGAGGAAAAAAGAAUACCAUAACUAUUAUUAUUUCAUAUUAAUUAUAACUCUUAAAUGCCGCAAUAAUAUAGAAUAAUUAACAAUUACGGAAUAAUAUGUUAACGCAAGCAAUAUUAUAUUAUGUUAUUAUGAAAACGGUCGACAUUGUAAGUGCGUAUUUUAUAUUGAUAUGUAAUAAUAAUAAUAUUUAGUAUUAAACUAUUAUAUGAAAGUACCAAUAUUAUAUUUAAGACGUUGAAAAUUAAUAAUAUUUUCUUCUUCGCAUUGGUUUCGUCCGCGAAUAAUUAAUAUCCUUGAGAUAUAUGAUGUGUACAAUAUAGAUGCUUACCUAUAGUAUUGUUUUAAAAUCAACCGUAACAACGUCUUGUAAUAAUAAUAAUUAGUGUAAUAACAAUAAUAAUAAUGAGAUCUUAGGUAUAUUAUUGUGUAUUAUUUGCACAUAUUAUUAUUAUUGUUAUUAUCAAUAUCGGAGAUAACGGAUUUAUACAUAUAUAUAUAUAUACAUAUAGAAUUUAUGACCUUAGCUGAUGUUUUGUAUUCUAUAAAUCCGUUUUGCACACUUCCUUUCGACAUUUUGCAAAAAGUCCGCCGGUCCAUCGGCGUUUAAGAUUUAUUUCCAACAAUAAUGAUUUAUUAGAUCACACGGCUUUCAGUUUAAACAAACAUUAUAUAAGCGUUCAAAUUGCAUGGCCGUUGGAUAAUGAUUUUUGAUUUUUUUUUUUUUUUUAUAAUGUUAUACAAUAAUAAAAUAAUUAUUAUGAUUUUCACUUUUAUACUAUAGUAUAUUUUUUCGUAUCACAUUGGUAUGAUUAAACUUUCGCACACAAAAUAAAAAAAAUCAAGGGUCUCCACUUUCCAUUUAUCUCGGGUGAUGGGUCGGCAAUGACUCAUUGUAAAAUUUGUUUGGCAUAUGAUUAGAUCUGGUAGAUAAAACAUUAUAUUUAAUCUGCUCGUUUGUUGUCUUUGAUGUUAAAAUAAUAGUCAACACCACGGAAAUAUAGAUUAAGUAACUAAAAAUAUUUCAAUUUUGUUAUCUAAACAAAUUUAAUUUUUCCCUGAGAUUUAAAUUAUUAAUUAUUAUUAAACUUGCUAAUUAUUACGCAAUUAGGUGGGGAUUCAUGAAAUAUUGAUUUCAUUAGUUCACUGCGGUCACAAUAAUAUAUUUUUUGACAUCUAUGUAUAGAAAUUUGAUUUAUAAAUCCUCAGCAUUACAUUUUAAAGCUUCUAAAAAUAGCUUGUAGAGUAUAUACAAUAUAUAUUGAAUCCUGUAUACUUAACUGACACCAUUCUAAACCUCCAGUUUUUAAAAACAAUAAUGUUUUAAAAAUAUUAGGUACCUCGUCUGAUAAAUGCUAAUAUAAUUAUUGUCCCCGGGAACAUUCAAACAUCAAAAAUCAUAUUUUAACCACAAAAUUCAAACAAGCCAGUGUGAGCACCUUAUUGAAUACGGCACAUAGAAGUUUGGUAAUAUACCACCAUGACAAAACUGAACAAAAUAACACCAAAAAAAAAAAUCUGAUCAAAAAAUUUCGAACUAGAUCAAAUUGUCCUCACUGGAUCAAAAUGUUUUCAAAACGCAACAAAUUGUCCCUUAAAAUGUUUUAGAAUUAAAAAAUAAAACGGUUGUUUAAAUAAUAACCGGUUUUACGUGAAUAAUUUUGGUAAUGAUUCAGUUCUAAUUAAUAAUUAUUAAGUAAUUUGGUUUUUGUUUUAAAUUCGGAGCAAAGCGAGGUUCUAUUGGUUCACCUUUUUUUUUUUUUUUUAAUCUUAGAGCAAUUUUUCUACCAGAUAUCUUCCUCUAAUUGAAAAAUUUGUUGGAUUUUGGAUCUAGUUGUAGUAUUGAAGAAGUAUUUUUUGGUUUUUUUUUAAACAGUUUCCAUAAUAUAAUUGAAAAAAGAAUGGAAAAUGACUUAGAAGUUUACGGAAUUAAUAGUUUAAACAGAAAACUUUUAUUUGCUUUUCGAUGCAGAACUGGCGGUUUUUGAUCUUUUUAUAGACAUUUUAGAAAGGUUUUUUACGCAAUUUUUAUUUGGUAGGUGUUACUUGGAUAUUAUUGUUUGAUCACACUGAAAUGAUUAAUAAUUUAAUAGAAGGUCAAAUACGAGCAUAAGUUAUCAUUAGUGGUAACAAAAAAGUAGUAUCCUGCAGUAACUUUUUUUAUAAAUCAAAUUACGUAAAUAUUACGAUGUUACAAAUCACGUAUACUCCAGCUUCCCUCAGAAACGUUACUCAUUGGAAAUAGUUUAUCGUUGCCCACAGUUUCAAACUAAAUACCUUUAUUUAACCUACCUUCCCAACUUCCCAAUUAUAACAUACAUUGAGAAUUUUAAUUGAACAAUAGAUAGUUUUUAAUAAAUGAAUAACAUUGUCUUCGGUAUGUAUGAAUAAUGAGCAUUUCCCAGGAAUUUGUAAUGUUGUGUGUAAUAUUUAUGAUGCUUAUACGAUGUUUAUAUGCUUGGCGUUUAGAUGUCGUUCAUGGUUAUUACAAAUUUUAAUAUACGAAUACAAUUUAGAACUAACUUUUCUAUUGGCUAAUUUAUUUCUAUUUUUUUACUAAGAAAUAAAAAUUAUUGUUAUUUAAUAUCGGCAAUUAUAAGUUUUUUAUUUAAUCACAUUAUUUUAACGUGCGAGAAGAUAGCUACACAACUACGACCAAAUUUUGUAAUCAUUUCGCAAAUUAAUUUUCAGAAUUUGCAGAU